rnacentral:rRNA from 1 species
AUUGAACGCUGGCGGCAUGCUUUACACAUGCAAGUCGAACGGUAACAGGCCGCAAGGUGCUGACGAGUGGCGCACGGGUGAGUAAUGCAUCGGAACGUGCCCAGUCGUGGGGGAUAACUACUCGAAAGAGUAGCUAAUACCGCAUACGAUCUAUGGAUGAAAGCGGGGGACCGUAAGGCCUCGCGCGAUUGGAGCGGCCGAUGUCAGAUUAGGUAGUUGGUGGGGUAAAGGCUCACCAAGCCAACGAUCUGUAGCCGGUCUGAGAGGACGACCAGCCACACUGGGACUGAGACACGGCCCAGACUCCUACGGGAGGCAGCAGUGGGGAAUUUUGGACAAUGGGCGCAAGCCUGAUCCAGCAAUGCCGCGUGCAGGAAGAAGGCCUUCGGGUUGUAAACUGCUUUUGUACGGAACGAGACGGAUCUGGUUAAUACCCGGGGCUAAUGACGGUACCGUAAGAAUAAGCACCGGCUAACUACGUG